GAUGAACGCUGGCGGCGUGCCUAAUACAUGCAAGUCGAGCGAACAGACGAGGAGCUUGCUCCUCUGACGUUAGCGGCGGACGGGUGAGUAACACGUGGAUAACCUACCUAUAAGACUGGGAUAACUUCGGGAAACCGGAGCUAAUACCGGAUAACAUGGUGAACCGCAUGGUUCAACAGUGAAAGACGGUCUUGCUGUCACUUGUAGAUUGAUCCGCGCCGCAUUAGCUAGUUGGUAAGGUAACGGCUUACCAAGGCAACGAUGCGUAGCCGACCUGAGAGGGUGAUCGGCCACACUGGAACUGAGACACGGUCCAGACUCCUACGGGAGGCAGCAGUAGGGAAUCUUCCGCAAUGGGCGAAAUCCUGACGGAGCAACGCCGCGUGAGUGAAGAAGGUCUUCGGAUCGUAAAACUCUGUUAUUAGGGAAGAACAAAUGUGUAAGUAACUAUGCACGUCUUGACGGUACCUAAUCAGAAAGCCACGGCUAACUACGUG
rnacentral:rRNA from 1 species